rnacentral:rRNA from 1 species
UACGUAGGGUGCAAGCGUUAAUCGGAAUUACUGGGCGUAAAGUGUGCGCAGGCGGUUUUGUAAGUCUGAUGUGAAAUCCCCGGGCUCAACCUGGGAAUUGCAUUGGAGACUGCAAGGCUAGAAUCUGGCAGAGGGGGGUAGAAUUCCACGUGUAGCAGUGAAAUGCGUAGAGAUGUGGAGGAACACCGAUGGCGAAGGCAGCCCCCUGGGUCAAGAUUGACGCUCAUGCACGAAAGCGUGGGGAGCAAACAGG